AAAGAGAAGAAGGAGGAGAUAAAAAGAAAAUACAAAAAACCCUGAGCAUUUCUGCAGUCCAAAGAGGAUAUUCCUAUUAGCAUGUCAUGGAAUUUAAAUCUCUAAACAUUCUAGAAGGAAAAAAUACAACAGCCAUCAAAACCCUACAAUACUGAAGAAAAAAUAUAGAGCCACCAGAAGCAAGGUAUCCCACAUAUUAAUCUUGCAAUCUUGCAACUGUGCUGUUUCCACAGAAAGUAUGUUACAGCUUAAACUUCAGGAUCUCAAAGCAAUGAAUGGAAGUGAACAGAAGUGGCGCUGUGUUGAAGCAUCCUAUUCAAGACUGAUUACAG